CUGCAGCUUAUUAAGCCGACCAGUUCCUCUGCUGUGUGGUUCUGGUGUGCAAAGGCUGCAGACAGCAACUCUCUGGUUGUGUAUGUCCUCAGCUGGGAGGUGCUGAGUGCUUUAAGGGACCACUGAGACAAAC
rnacentral:snoRNA from 1 species